UACAGAGGGUGCGAGCGUUAAUCGGAAUUACUGGGCGUAAAGCGCACGUAGGCGGCUUUGCAAGUCGGGUGUGAAAUCCCCAGGCUCAACCUGGGAACUGCAUUCGAGACUGCAUUGCUAGAGUAUGGGAGAGGGAAGUGGAAUUUCCGGUGUAGCGGUGAAAUGCGUAGAUAUCGGAAGGAACAUCAGUGGCGAAAGCGACUUCCUGGACCAAUACUGACGCUCAUGUGCGAAAGCGUGGGGAGCAAACAGG
rnacentral:rRNA from 1 species